GUGGGGAAUCUUAGACAAUGGGCGCAAGCCUGAUCUAGCCAUGCCGCGUGAGCGAUGAAGGCCUUAGGGUUGUAAAGCUCUUUCAGCUGGGAAGAUAAUGACGGUACCAGCAGAAGAAGCCCCGGCUAACUCCGUGCCAGCAGCCGCGGUAAUACGGAGGGGGCUAGCGUUGUUCGGAAUUACUGGGCGUAAAGCGCACGUAGGCGGAUCAGAAAGUCAGAGGUGAAAUCCCAGGGCUCAACCUUGGAACUGCCUUUGAAACUCCUGAUCUUGAGGUCGAGAGAGGUGAGUGGAAUUCCGAGUGUAGAGGUGAAAUUCGUAGAUAUUCGGAGGAACACCAGUGGCGAAGGCGGCUUACUGGUCCAUUACUGACGCUGAGGUGCGAAAGCGUGGGGAGCAAACAGGAUUAGAAACCCCUGUAGUCC
rnacentral:rRNA from 1 species